AAAUUGAAGAGUUUGAUCAUGGCUCAGAUUGAACGCUGGCGGCAGGCCUAACACAUGCAAGUCGAGCGGUAGCACAGAGAGCUUGCUCUCGGGUGACGAGCGGCGGACGGGUGAGUAAUUUCUGGGAAACUGCCUGAUGGAGGGGGAUAACUACUGGAAACGGUAGCUAAUACCGCAUAAUGUCGCAAGACCAAAGUGGGGGACCUUCGGGCCUCAUGCCAUCAGAUGUGCCCAGAUGGGAUUAGCUAGUAGGUGGGGUAACGGCUCACCUAGGCGACGAUCCCUAGCUGGUCUGAGAGGAUGACCAGCCACACUGGAACUGAGACACGGUCCAGACUCCUACGGGAGGCAGCAGUGGGGAAUAUUGCACAAUGGGCGCAAGCCUGAUGCAGCCAUGCCGCGUGUGUGAAGAAGGCCUUCGGGUUGUAAAGCACUUUCAGCGGGGAGGAAGGCGGUGAGGUUAAUAACCUCAUCGAUUGACGUUACCCGCAGAAGAAGCACCGGCUAACUCCGUGCCAGCAGCCGCGGUAAUACGGAGGGUGCAAGCGUUAAUCGGAAUUACUGGGCGUAAAGCGCACGCAGGCGGUCUGUCAAGUCGGAUGUGAAAUCCCCGGGCUCAACCUGGGAACUGCAUUCGAAACUGGCAGGCUAGAGUCUUGUAGAGGGGGGUAGAAUUCCAGGUGUAGCGGUGAAAUGCGUAGAGAUCUGGAGGAAUACCGGUGGCGAAGGCGGCCCCCUGGACAAAGACUGACGCUCAGGUGCGAAAGCGUGGGGAGCAAACAGGAUUAGAUACCCUGGUAGUCCACGCCGUAAACGAUGUCGAUUUGGAGGUUGUGCCCUUGAGGCGUGGCUUCCGGAGCUAACGCGUUAAAUCGACCGCCUGGGGAGUACGGCCGCAAGGUUAAAACUCAAAUGAAUUGACGGGGGCCCGCACAAGCGGUGGAGCAUGUGGUUUAAUUCGAUGCAACGCGAAGAACCUUACCUGGUCUUGACAUCCACAGAACUUAGCAGAGAUGCUUUGGUGCCUUCGGGAACUGUGAGACAGGUGCUGCAUGGCUGUCGUCAGCUCGUGUUGUGAAAUGUUGGGUUAAGUCCCGCAACGAGCGCAACCCUUAUCCUUUGUUGCCAGCGGUUAGGCCGGGAACUCAAAGGAGACUGCCAGUGAUAAACUGGAGGAAGGUGGGGAUGACGUCAAGUCAUCAUGGCCCUUACGACCAGGGCUACACACGUGCUACAAUGGCAUAUACAAAGAGAAGCGACCUCGCGAGAGCAAGCGGACCUCAUAAAGUAUGUCGUAGUCCGGAUUGGAGUCUGCAACUCGACUCCAUGAAGUCGGAAUCGCUAGUAAUCGUAGAUCAGAAUGCUACGGUGAAUACGUUCCCGGGCCUUGUACACACCGCCCGUCACACCAUGGGAGUGGGUUGCAAAAGAAGUAGGUAGCUUAACCUUCGGGAGGGCGCUUACCACUUUGUGAUUCAUGACUGGGGUGAAGUCGUAACAAGGUAACCGUAGGGGAACCUGCGGUUGGAUCACCUCCUUA
rnacentral:rRNA from 1 species